rnacentral:rRNA from 1 species
CGGAGGGUGCAAGCGUUAUCCGGAUACACUGGGUUUAAAGGGUGCGUAGGCGGGUAUGUAAGUCAGUGGUGAAAUCUCGAAGCUUAACUUCGAAACUGCCAUUGAUACUAUAUAUCUUGAAUAUUGUGGAGGUUUGCGGAAUAUGUCAUGUAGCGGUGAAAUGCUUAGAUAUGACAUAGAACACCUAUUGCGAAGGCGGCAGGCUACACAUAUAUUGACGCUGAGGCACGAAAGCGUGGGGAUCAAACAGGAUUAGAUACCCUGGUAGUCCACGCCCUAAACGAUGAUUACUCGACAUUUGUGAUACACUAUAAGUGUCUGAGCGAAAGCAUUAAGUAAUCCACCUGGGAAGUACGACCGCAAGAUUG